AUAUUGUGGCUCGCCAUUCCGGCGAACUCCUUAUAUCAACACACCCACUGCGUACCCACCUGUUGCCUCCGCUGGGAUACACUCCCGGCGAGUGGGGAGCUCGAUAACAUUCCUUGCAUUGCAUUGCAGUCUGUCUGAACUCAUUGAGAGAAACUGUCAUAAAACUUUCAGCAACGGAUCUCUUGGUUCUCGCAUCGAUGAAGAACGCAGCGAAAUGCGAUAAGUAGUGUGAAUUGCAGAAUUUAGUGAAUCAUCGAAUCUUUGAACGCACAUUGCGCCUUCUGGUAUUCCGGGAGGCAUGCCUGUCCGAGCACUAACAGCGAGAUGCAGUCCAGUGGUGGAACUGGCUGGUUGUGGGGGAUGAGUGGUGUGCCAUCCAGCACACUCUCACCUCUGAAAGUGAAUGGUGGAGUGCACUGAAUACCUCAGCGUGAUAACAAUGUUUCGCCCGGUGGAUCAGUUGCACUCUCUCCGUAAAACCAAUACAAAACUUUGAUCUCGGAUCAGGUAGGGAUACCCGCUGAACUUAAGCAUAUCAA
rnacentral:rRNA from 1 species